AGUCACUGACAUUAGAUACCCCGGUAGUCCCAGCCGUAAACUAUGCGCGUUAGGUGUAUCGGUGACCACGAGUUACUGAUGCGCCGAAGAGAAAUCGUGAAACGCACCACCUGGGAAGUACGGUCGCAAGGCUGAAACUUAAAGGAAUUGGCGGGGGAGCACCACAACAGGUGGAGCCUGCGGUUUAAUUGGAUUCAACGCCGGACAUCUCACCGGAUAAGACAGCUGAAUGAUUGUCAAUCUGAAGGUUUUACAUGACUAGCUG
rnacentral:rRNA from 1 species